rnacentral:misc_RNA from 1 species
UAAAGUGCGAUAUUUAGUGCGAUUUGCAUGAAUCUGUGAGUCAUCGAGUUUUUGAACGCAUCUUGCGCCCGUAAGGGCAUGUCCUUUUGAGUACCGACCAACAAAAUGUUGACUAAUGCCUAUGGCUUGGUUAUAAUGGAGAUUACCCUGUAAGAGGCGGUGUCAAGUUGUUUGCGCAACUACCCUCCUCAAGCAAUCUAAUCCCGGUCUCAGAGUGGCAAGAUUACCCGCUGAACUUAA